UACGUAGGGUGCAAGCGUUGUCCGGAAUUAUUGGGCGUAAAGAGCUCGUAGGCGGUUCGUCGCGUCGGCUGUGAAAACCCGGAGCUCAACUCCGGGCCUGCAGUCGAUACGGGCAGACUAGAGGUAUGCAGGGGAGAACGGAAUUCCUGGUGUAGCGGUGAAAUGCGCAGAUAUCAGGAGGAACACCGGUGGCGAAGGCGGGUCUCUGGGCCGUAACUGACGCUGAGGAGCGAAAGCAUGGGGAGCGAACAGG
rnacentral:rRNA from 1 species